AUCCCACCAGACCAAGAGGGAAACCUCAAAUGGCUGGGACAUACCCCCUCCCUCCUGAUGCUCUCCCAGCUCUUGUCUCCAGGGCUGACCUGGGGGACUGUGUGCCUGGACAGAAGCAGCAGCAGCAGCCGGCGCUAUGCAAAUGUUUUCUUAAUCAUGUCCCGGCCAUUGCUCCAUUGUGAGGCUUUUAAGAUAAUUUAUUAAUUUUAUCUGUCAUUGCCGAGGCUGGAGCAGUGGGCUGUGGGCUUCUGCGGUGUGUGAGCUAGAGGUUUCUUCCCGAGUUAUUUAUUUGAUCGUGAUAUUAAAUAUUAGCAACUCUAACAGCUGGUGUGUUUAUCCUGACUUGAGUGUAUUAACCUCUUUCGCCCUUUUUUCCAGAAGAAGGACUCGGCCCCGCAGAUUUGACUGUCAGCUGUGGUGCCUGGCGGCCCCGCCGGUUGGCAUCCUGACAGAAUCUCAAGUCCAGAGCAGCAAGUAAACAUGGAUGACAUUGCGGCGCGAGGGGGACGCGAGCACAUGAUGACUCGAGGCACCUGCAGCUGCUUGCACCCAAAUCAAAGUACAGGCUGAGCUCACUGGGAUGGAAAAGCAUGGAAUUUACUUAACGGGAGUGAGUUGGCUCCGUGCGAGAUCAAGGCUUAAUUCAAAUGAAUGACUUUUUAAUAGUGGAUGUCUAGUAUGCGGCACCUUCUGAGAGUUGGGAGUGGGGACAUGAGGACCUUUCCUGCCUUUCCUCUAACCAUGCCACCUCAUUCAGCACCUACAGGUGGGGUGAACAAACCAAGGAGAAAAGGCCAUAUAGCAAACAAGGAGCAGGAUGAAGCCUUACCACAGAUAUUCACUCCAGAAUUUCCACAUAGGAAAGGCUCAUGGCAAGGAUGCUGUAAUAGAAGAUAACCAUCUGAACUUCCCUCAGAGUGUCCUCUGGAACCAAGGUCCUGGACUCCACCCUGGCAUCAGCUGGGUGAUGCCUCUUUUAUUGUAUGGUUUGGGGCAUCUGUAGUCCUUUAAGAUGCUACAGCUAAGGAACUAAUGUCCUUCAGAUCAGUCUUGCUCAGAAAUUUCAAAACGGGUGGCCCAGAGAGUCCUCAUUUCUCUGCUCACUCUGGAUCCACCCCACGCUCUUAUUUUCUAUGAUACAGCCCUGCCAGCAUCCUGCUACCCAGAGCCCACUGGACUGCUUUGCCUCACCCCAUAGAACUCACUUCAGGAACAAAAGCCCCACACAGGCCUGGCAGCUGUGCCCAAAUCCAUACCAUUCAGCCCUACAUACAUUGUUAAGAUGAGUCGUUGGGGGUUUGCCAAUAAGUCAGAGUUACCUGUCCCUUCUCCUGAGAAAAGAACUAUAUGUUCUUGCCUCAGUGAUGGGAGAUACACAAACUGAAAGUGUUCCUUAUCACGGUUUUGUUUGUUCUUCCCCUUCCUCCUGC